GAGGAGUCCGCGGCCGAUUAGCUAGUUGGUAGGGUAAAAGCCUACCAAGGCUACGAUCGGUAGCCGGCCUGAGAGGGCACACGGCCACACUGGCACUGAAACACGGGCCAGACUCCUACGGGAGGCAGCAGUGGGGAAUCUUGCACAAUGGGGGCAACCCUGAUGCAGCGACGCCGCGUGAACGAUGAAGCCCUUCGGGGUGUAAAGUUCUUUCGGCAGGGAAGAUUAUGACGGUACCUGCAGAAGCAGCUGCGGCUAACUACGUGCCAGCAGCCGCGGUAAUACGUAGGCAGCAAGCGUUGUUCGGAGUUACUGGGCGUAAAGGGUGUGUAGGCGGUCUUCUAAGUUUGGUGUGAAAUCUCCCGGCUCAACUGGGAGGGUGCGCCGAAAACUGGAAGGCUAGAGUGCGGGAUGGGAGAGUGGAAUUCCUGGUGUAGCGGUGAAAUGCGUAGAUAUCAGGAGG
rnacentral:rRNA from 1 species